rnacentral:rRNA from 1 species
UACGUAGGGAGCGAGCGUUGUCCGGAAUCAUUGGGCGUAAAGCGCGCGUAGGCGGCCCGAUAAGUCCGCUGUAAAAGUCAACGGCUCAACUGUUGAAAGCCGGUGGAUACUGUCGGGCUAGAGUACGGAAGAGGCAAGUGGAAUUCCUGGUGUAGCGGUGGAAUGCGCAGAUAUCAGGAGGAACACCUAUGGCGAAGGCAGCUUGCUGGGACGUUACUGACGCUAAGGCGCGAAGGCGUGGGGAGCGAACAGG